rnacentral:rRNA from 1 species
CAAUAGCGUAUAUUAAAGUUGUUGCAGUUAAAAAGCUCGUAGUCGGACCUCUUGCCUUCGGCUCUGGUCUGCCGCAAGGUAUGUACUUGAGUCGUUGGCCAUCCUCUCGAGGCCCCUGGCGUGCCCUUUACUGGGUGUGUCGGGAACUCGGGACCUUUACUUUGAAAAAAUUAGAGUGUUCAAAGCAGGCGUUACGCUUGAAUACAUUAGCAUGGAAUAAUGGAAUAGGACUUUGGUUCUAUUUUGUUGGUUUCUAGGACCGAAGUAAUGAUUAAUAGGGAUAGUUGGGGGCAUUAGUAUUUAAUUGUCAGAGGUGAAAUUCUUGGAUUUAUGAAAGACUAACAUCUGCGAAAGCAUUUGCCAAGGAUGUUUUCAUUGA